AGAACCCGAGCCCACGCACACAAGGGUCGCGGGGCUGGGAAGCUCGUCAUCCAAGCCCGUCAGGGAGCCCCCCCAUCACCCGACCGCGAAAGGCUGAGAGAAGGGAGGGUUCGUGCCACCAGGUCCUGGUCCCCCGGCUAGAUGUGGUGGGCGCGCGCCCCGACUACUCGUCCCACGCCCCCCUUCCUCUUCCCGCGCGCCCCUGAGGGGUGACUGGGUUGGUGGGCGGGCAGGAGCGCACCUGGGUCCGUCCUCUCAGGGCUCGCUCGCUCGCUCGCUCGCUCAGGCACGCGUGCGCAGAAGGGCGGGAAGGGAGAGGAGACACGCCGGGGCCCAGCGCCGGCCGGCCUGACCCCCUCAGUCUGUCUCUAUGGGCGCGCGCCGACAGCCUCGCGCACCGGCCCCGGGGCCCCGGCUGAGGGUGCGCGCGCAGCACCCCGGGAAGGUGGGGGGGAGGCGGUGGCGGAAAGAUGCGCGCGCAGUCAGCCGUCAUGGGAGGGGGAACUGUGGGGCGUUCGCCAUCUUGUCUCCCUCUCCUUACCUGCGUCCUCGGGGGCGUGCGCACCACCCCCCCUCCCGCCUAGGAGGGGGGAGGGCCCCCUCUUGGCCACCGCCUUCGCGGCCUUUAAACUCCCCUGGAGACUGCGGCUACUGCCACCGCCUUGCCUCCACUGCCUCUUCGCGCAGCACACAGAUGCGGACGGUGGGUGGGAAAAAGGGCAGACGCUACUCCCAGCGAACCGCCGCUGCCGCUCCCGAGGCCUCACCAAAAUGGCCGCCGCCGUCUCGGCCGCCACCACCACCACUACCACCACCACUCGCUCGGAAUCGCUAUCGCCGGCGCGGCCCGUCUUCUCGCGAGAGACAGUAACUGGAGGGUGGGGGAACGGGGAGGCUCGCGUGCUAGCGUAGGGUGCAGCACGGUGCGCAAGGCAGCCUGGGAGGUGUAGUCUCCCAGAGGCUGCGCGCUCGCCCUUCCUCGGAGCGCCUUUACCGUUUGCCCCUAGAUCUACCUGGGGCUGCAUUGCGGCUGCCAGCUCGGACCACCGCCACCUCCCUUUUUAUUUACAGAUCACCCAGUAAGCUGCAGCAAGUUAGCAGUGGAACCUGGGCCUCCCGAUUCCCAUGGCAGCCCACUUCUGUAGCGCUGCUUCGUUUUACGCGAGGAUGGUUUCCUGAUAGCUUUCAAACACCUUUGCCAUCUCUUCGCAAACUUUCUAGAUUAAGAAUCCCUUUGAGAAUCUGAUACCUUUACCCCAGAAUAGAACAAUAAAUAACAGCUACCUUCUACUGACACUACUUGGUGCCUUGAUUAUUUCUUUUAAUCCUAACUGCUCCAUUUUACAAACGAAUUGAGGCUCAGGCGUUAAAACACAGUGACAGAUCCUGAAGUCAAGAUUCCUAGCCAAGCAGUCUAAGCCACAAGAAUGCACUCGCUGUCAUAAAAUUUUACCACCUAAAGCCCCCGCUAAGAGGCCAGGUUAGGAAGCCCUGAUGAAGCUCCCCUUCCUCCAUUCAGUUUAGCUCUUCCCUGCGAAGAGGAUUGUUGGUCCCAUUUUACAGAUGAAGUUUGGGUUGA
rnacentral:lncRNA from 1 species